rnacentral:rRNA from 1 species
AUUGAACGCUAGCGGGAUGCUUUACACAUGCAAGUCGAACGAGUGGCGGACGGGUGAGUAAUAUAUCGGAACGUGCCCAGUAGCGGGGGAUAACUACUCGAAAGAGUGGCUAAUACCGCACACUAUUGGAUCGGUCGACACCGGAGUAGUGAGUUGGUGGGGUAAAGGCUCACCAAGGCAACGAUCCGUAGCUGGUUUGAGAGGACGAGCAGCCACACUGGGACUGAGACACGGUCCAGACUCCUACGGGAGGCAGCAGUGGGGAAUUUUGGAAAAUGGGGGAAACCCUGAUCCAGCCAUCCCGCGUGUAUGAGAAGGCCUUCGGGUUGUAAAGUACUUUUGGCAGAGAAGCGGUAUCUACAGAAUAAGCACCGGCUAACUACGUGCCAGCAGCCGCGGUAAUAC